UGGGGAAUUUUGGACAAUGGGCGCAAGCCUGAUCCAGCCAUGCCGCGUGCAGGAUGAAGGCCCUCGGGUUGUAAACUGCUUUUGUACGGAACGAAAAGCCUCUUUCUAAUAACGAGGGGUAAUGACGGUACCGUAAGAAUAAGCACCGGCUAACUACGUGCCAGCAGCCGCGGUAAUACGUAGGGUGCGAGCGUUAAUCGGAAUUACUGGGCGUAAAGCGUGCGCAGGCGGUCUUGCAAGACAGUGGUGAAAUCCCCGGGCUCAACCUGGGAACUGCCAUUGUGACUGCAAGGCUGGAGUACGGCAGAGGGGGAUGUAAUUCCGCGUGUAGCAGUGAAAUGCGUAGAUAUGCGGAGGAACACCGAUGGCGAAGGCAGUCCCCUGGGCCUGUACUGACGCUCAUGCACGAAAGCGUGGGGAGCAAACA
rnacentral:rRNA from 1 species